CUUGGUGAAGUUAGUGGGAGGAUUAUGAUUAGCUGGUCAAGUUCAAUCUCUUCUCUUCAAUAUCUUAAUCAAAUUCUCUAAAUUAUUAAGUCCAUAAAAUGAGCUAGUCAUGAGGAUAACUAGAUCAUUGUCUCUCAUUAAGUUGGGUGAUAAUGGAUCCAUUAGUUGAAUGAUCAUUGGAUGACUCAAAGGUCGGAUGCUCAUCUGCUAUUAAAAUUAUCAUUCAUAAUAUGAUGACUCAAUCGAGUCUCUCUUAUAGGUGGUCAGG
rnacentral:lncRNA from 1 species